rnacentral:misc_RNA from 1 species
AUGUUGUCGGGGCCAGCUG